AUUGAUCCUUUGUGUUUGGGAGAGAAAAAGAACCUUUCAAGUAAUAUUAAAACGCAGGGCUUUCUUGCACUACUUCAGAAGUUUUAACCAUAGCAGGAUGAGGGCAUCACUCGCUAGGCCAGCAUUCAUUGUGAA